GGAUUCUGAACAGAAUAGAUAUCCCUACGUUUACAACUAAUUGAUCACAACCAGUUACAGAUUCUUUUUUUCCUUCUCCACUCCCACUGCUUUACUUGACCAGCCUUAA
rnacentral:sRNA from 1 species